rnacentral:sRNA from 1 species
GCCUGUACCUGGAAAAACAUUACCCAAUCUACCGAAUCAGUUUUCUUACAGAAUAGAGACUGUUAAGCCACAGCAGGGAAGAGUUUCUGAAACCUUUGUCUGGUACGAUGGAAACCUGGACAUUGUUCGGUAUGACAGCAGAGAUCCUUAUGGCGAUAAUCAAUACAUGAUGACAUAUAUUCAAGAUUUUACGAGAGGUCUUUCCUAUCAGAUCAACCAAGUCACUGGAAGCUGUAAGAUCAACGCCCUUGGACCUGGAGCCUUUGAUGUGGUCAAUAGUAAACCAUCGCCAGACGGAAAUCUUGUGGUGUCCUUAAAGUCUCCACAGAGCUUGUUCUACCUGUCUGAUUCAUACAGAUUUGUUGGACAGGUAAAUCAAUUCUUUCUUAGGCCAGUG